UGGGGCCUAAUUGAGUGUUUACACGGACCACAUAGGAAUCGGUCCUCUGACCGCUGAGCUCAGGGAAGCCAAGGGGAGGCCACGUAAGCAGAGCUGACCUGCCUGGAAGUCAGGACAGACACAUAAGCAGACAGUCACUCAGGCUGCGCAGUCCUAAGGCUUCGUGCUGGCUCUAGUCACUUCUUCUCUUUGGGCUGUUUUGACAGGCUGUUUUCUUAAAUGUUAAGACACCCAUUUUUAUAUUCUCUCUGGUAAUCUGAGGCCGGGCCUUUCUGGAGGAAGCUUGUGAUCCAGCAGCCUGCAUGUAUGAGUCCUGUCGCCCUGCCCCACAUUUUCUUCUCCUAGGAGACUCAGUUCUUUCGCUAGUGACCACCUGAAGUAAUCCUGCAUCCCUGCCCCUUGAAAAGACCAGGUCUUCCCAUGUCUUCAGAGGGAAUGGUAAAAUGAAUGUCUCAGAAUUUGGCAUGUGGUCAUUCUUUCCAAGGGCAGGCUAUUGGAAAUGGCCUUCCUGCGUCAAGCCAUUACCAGCAGCGUCUCUGUGACGGUGAAAGUGGAUGUCCUUUCAGUCAGAAAGCUGGGGCGUGGGACGGGCGCACGGGUCCUACUACCCGCCUUCCCUGGGUUCCUUCUCCUCCCUCCACCGUGGACCUUUCUUUCCUCCCCUGGUGUCCUUGGCUACUCCAGGUCACAUACUCACAUCUAACAAUUUGGAGCUAGGAGUCACAACGAAGAGAAAGCAGGUGGUGUUUGUCUUUCUGGGUCCGGGUUACCUCAACGGAGAGAGGCGAUUGAUAGUCCUCACCAGCGGCAAAGCCUGUGGAGCUGUGCGACCACCAGAGUGGCAUGAUCCCCCAAGGAUGCGUGCAGAUCAUAGGUACAAGCAACAGGUCUUUAAUUGGACUUAAGGCCCACGCAAUAGGAAGUAAGUCAUGCCUGACACUGGAAACAUAGCUAACUACCUGCAUCCGGUGAGGCCAUGAACCCUAGAAGAGACCUUUCUAUUGUCACUUCCCUAAACCAGUGUAAUUUCUGACUACAUGAUGAAUACUCACCUUUACGCCGACAGAUCACUGUAUCUCUUACUCUUCACUCAAGAAGCUUCUAUUUACAGUAGACUGAGACCAUCCUAGAAAGCCACAACGCCACCAAGAGAUUCACCAGGCUGCAUUUACAUAUGCAUAUAUAUAUGCAUACAUAUAUAAAGAAUAAAAGAAGAGGUUCUGAGUUAGAAAGGGAGUGAGGGUGUGGAACGAGUUGGAAGGGGAGAGGUAGAGAUAGAGAUGAUGUAAAUAUGGUAUUUGUGUAUGAAACUCUCAAAGAAAAUUUAAUCAUUAAAAUCGAACCACUGGCUUUUACUUUUAAAGAAAUAAACAAAAUGGAUUUCUUUGAGUGAUGGUAGUUCAAGUCCUUCAGUCCUACAGUUCAGCUUGGAUGUCUGAGGUAGCAGAAAAAAAGAAAGAAAGAAAGAAAGAAAGAAAAAGGAAGGAAGGAAAGAAGGGAGGGAGGGAGGGAGGAAGGAAGGAAGGAAGGAAGGAAAGAAGGAAGGAAGGAAGGAAAGGAAAGGGAAAAAAAAGGAAAGAAAAAGUAGCAGUUUCAAUGACAAGUGUCCACACAGCUUUUGCCUGGAAAGACGCUGGAGUUUGGGGAUUGGGAGCCUGGGUUUCAUUCAAGACUCUUUACCACUUGCAUUUUUGCCUUUGAACUUUUCUUCUCCGAGUGGAGAAGCUGAGGCUCCUGGCUUUUUGUUUGCUGUGGAUCCCAGGGUGACACAGAAGAUGGAGUGGUCUUUAUGAGCAGAGAAAAACCAAGAUUAAAGGCAUGUCUGUAUUCCAGCCAGAGUAGCCACGUUGCUGGAUUAAAAUUCCUCUAUAUGCUUCCUCUCCACUUUAUCUCUGAGUUCUCUUCUAUAGGGACAGCUGGGACUUGUCAGUGGGACCUGAAGUGCGCUUUUCUGAAGGCAAUUUUUAUUGUCUCCUGGGUCUUUUCUGACACAUAUGUGAAGGAAGCCAGCCAGCCACAGUUCAUGAUUCUGCUUUCUCAGGACUAACUAAAAAACCAGCCCUGUUGCCAAACUCUCUGGUCAUCUCUAUUCUAAGCAGCCCAUGAUCUUUCUGCAAGUGUUCUGUCAUUGUGGCGUACUCAGAUUCUUCCAGAAUUUAUGGAUCUGGACCCCAAGCCAAUCCUUUGAUCAAUGGUUUUAUUGCCUCACACAACUCCUGGGAGUGUAUUGUGCUUUCUCCUCUACUUUCAUCCCACUCAACUCCCCAUCAUGCCCUGGAGUUCACUGGCAGGCUACGUGAUUAGUGUGAUUAAGACACAAUUUCGAUGCAAAACGGCUUGCAAGGAGCCAAAGACUCAGAUGCUGCUGACACUGCUAUUAGGCAAGGGGCAGAGUGAGGAGAGAGGAUUGCUUCUUGUGUGUAGAAGUAGGAACUCAAGUACCUUGGUGUAGGGAGAGAUGGGCUCAGUGACAGACUGGGGCCGCCCUACACAGAAAACAUUCUCACAGCCGGGUCCGAGCGUGGGCCAGGCCCUCUGGUUCCCUGGCAUAGGUGCAGGCAUGCCUCAGCGGCCAUGCUGAGUGGCAGGAUUUAAGUCAGUCGGCUCCUGGGGCCCAGUAGACAUGAGGCAGCACUGGAGGGUACGCUCUGCUGCUCUGAGCACAAGAGAUUGUGGGUUCCGGGAAACACAGGAGGUGUAAGGUGUUCGGGGGUGUGUGUGGGGAGCAGUAGGGGCAGGUCCGAGAAACAUGAUUAUGUAAGUCACAGGAGAUGGUGAUAGAAGCAAAUAAUGGUAGAGGUUGGAGGAAGUGUAGGGUUAUGCCGAGGAUCAUGGGAGGAAUGUUUAGAAGCUCUCUGGUGGCCUACAUGGUAUAGAGGAGGGAGUCAAAAGCGUAGGAAAAACGAACAAACAUGCAAUAAUAGGAUUGGCAAGGUGUGGGAGGUCGUCAGGGGCCUUCUUCAGAAAAAUACACCUGAAGCAGAGGUUAAGCGCUGGGAACUGGGCUUAAGUCUUGUUUUCCUUCCUUCCUUCUUAGGGAGGUUUGAACCUAAAUUCUGCACUCUGUAAGCUUUAGACAAUAGCAUUUACCUUCUAAGACUGUGGCGACUGUUAAGCCAUACACGCAUGCACGCACGCACGCACGCACGCACGCACGCACGCCAACAUGCACUCUACACACAACACACACCCUACCUACUGCAGUACCCUGCACGGGGUAGGCACUCAAUGAAAGCGAUCGUCCUCAUCAGACAGGCGUUGCAGCGUUAAAGGAAAGGUGUCCGCUCGGUGGGUGAAAGGUAUGGGAUGUUCUAUCAGAGGGUCCACGGGCUGGGCCUUUGGCUUGCCUCCACUCGCUGUGCGGCAUGGUUUUGGACCUCUGUUGCUGCAAUUUCCUUUCGUCACUUUGCUGGGAAAGAAAGACUCUGGGAUCAGAGAUUUAGAUUUAUGCCCAGGGCAGAGGGCGUACCUGGGACAUUUCUAUUUACCAUAGUCCACUAGUCAACCAGGGCUGGUUCCAGAUGAUGGACUAAAUGCUGUUUAAGCAGCGCUACCACCCCCUUCUCUCCCUGCUGUUCCUCCUCCUGUCACUCGGAGCUGCUAUGUCCUGCACAAGAGUUCUGGGUACCAUGCAGGGCUUUCAAAAUCCCACCCUACCUUUCCCUAUUGUGGGUGGGGCAGUAUCAGAAACGAGCACAGAAGACAUGGCAGCCACAACCCUCAGAGCCAGGCUGGCCUCUCCUACCUCGCUCUGCCCCAGCCUUCCCUGUCCCUACUUACUGCCCCAGAAAGAACUCUGUCGGCUUCAGUUGCCCCGCUAGCCUGUGAUAGGGAACGAAGUUAAUGACUGCUUCCCAAGGAAACACGAAACUGUGAUUGUUCCAAGAGAGGAAAAUUCGUAUCACUAAAACCGACUUCACUCCCUUCUACUUUGCUCUCAUGUUUUUCUGCACAGGAGAAUCUUGCAUUUCGGUGCUAAGGCUGUUGUACUUUUGAAGCUCUUUUAAAUGGUUAAUGCAAAAAAAAAAAAAAAAAGUGUUGUACCCAAAUUCGGAUAAUACAAUUGAGGUCAUGACCAUGAACAGCAGUGACUGAGUGCCCACACAUCAAUGAUGGCUUUGUCAUGUCUGCCCUCCCUGACCAACAGCCACUAAAAGUGAUGUCAAAUCCCAGAGACAUCCUAACUUCAGAGAUACGGAAGCAUGCUUUCCAGAGAAAAC